AGGACGAACGCUGGCGGCGUGCUUAACACAUGCAAGUCGAGCGGUAAGGCUCCUUCGGGAGUACACGAGCGGCGAACGGGUGAGUAACACGUGAGCAAUCUGCCCUUCUCUUUGGAAUAAGCGUUGGAACGACGUCUAAUGCCGAAUACGACCUCCUUUCGCAUGAUCGGAGGUGGAAAGCUCCGGCGGAGAAGGAUGAGCUCGCGGCCUAUCAGCUAGUUGGUGUGGGUAACGGCCCACCAAGGCGACGACGGGUA
rnacentral:rRNA from 1 species